rnacentral:misc_RNA from 1 species
AGAAUCAAUUUUAUAUCAACAAGUGGCGAGGACUCCCUGACGUGUUCGUGGUUGUCACCUUGAGCAGUAGCACCAACAGUCCAGCGCUGAUCAGCAGAGGAAUCAGGCUGCUGAUGAACCAGCUUAACCACAGGAUCCCGUUAUUCAAUCCCAUGAUCCUCAUGGUCUCCUUCAGCCUUGCCUCCUUCUCAUACACCACGCUCUUCA